CAGAUCGAGCUGACGUGGCGCGAUCUCCGCCGUCGAUUUCGUCCAGGGCAGCCAAGCCCUCGCUCGGUUCCGCAUUUUAUCCAUGGGUCAGGUGACGAGCCCGCGCGGCCCGUUCCAUCGCUCCGCUCUCACCCGCCUCCCACGUCCUCCUCUCCCCUCGCGCCCCUCCCAUCAAGCCCUAUCCAACCGGGAACGGGCUGGUCGGUACUCCUCGCCCCGCCGCCACCUCGCCUCGCCGCCACCUCGCCCCGCGCUCCAGUCCCGCCGCCACCUCGCGCUCCUCUUCUUCCCCACGGUGUCCUCCUUUGCACCGCCGCCGGACAUCCUUUCAUCCAAUCCCGCAUCGUCCAAACCUCCUCUCAUUCCCGCAUCGUCCCGCAUCCUCCCAUGCCCUUCGCCCCCAGUACAAGACCCAGCCGCCCCACCGUCUUCUCCGCCAACCACGCCUCCGCCACCGAGCACCUCGGCGCACUGCUCCGCCAUCGAGCGCUCCUGCUCCGUCCAGCACGGCGUGCCCAAUGCGCUAGGGUUUCUGGUCGCCUGGACGGCGAGGAAGUGGAUCACCCCCUCGUCGGCGGCGUGGAAGACUUGCGCGACGUGGAGCAGCACCCAGUGCGGGAGCCGUCGUGGCGGUAGUUGAAGACUACCCAGCUCGCCCAUCUCACGUUUUGCUUUUCCUCUCUCUCAGCUUCCCUUGACUCCUCUCUCUCACCUCUUCCCCCAGAUCCGCCGCCGCCUCGCCGUGCUCACCAUCUGUUCCAUCGAUCCCACCUGGUUUUUCCACAAUGAAGGUCCUUCGCCAUGGAUUUGGUGAGGUAGUGGCCUGGUUGACCGGUGGGGAUUUUAUUCGUUGGGGAUUUGAUUCCUCUGCUUCCUUUUGGUCUUUUCUGCUGGGUUGUUUGUUUCUUUGACCUCUGUCUCCAUCAAGUCUUUCUUCUCUUUUUGUUUCUUUAUUUCAUCUAUCUAAAGCUCCGUCUCAGUGAUGAAUGAAUUGAGGGAUGGAAGACCAGAAUUGAUUUCAUUCAUUAUCUAUUGUCAUUGCUAAACAAGUAUUUCUUUCAGUGGCUCAUCACUAUUGUUUCUACUUCUGUGAACUUUGAAUAGGUGAAUACUUUUUAUUAGUCUGCUUUUACUAUUGGUUUAGGAUGUGCACUUCUGUUGUACUGUAAGAGUGCUCGAUUUCACUCCUAAUCACCAGUGGUUUGGUGCCUCCUCUAUACACUAGAAAUCAUCUAAGCCACAUUCUACUUUCAUACUACACGAGUCAUGCAUGUGUAGCCAACCUAAUUGCUCUAAUGACUAAUGAGGUAGUUUAUCUCAAGCCUAUUUAGAAAUCCUUCCAAAGACUCUUCUGCUAUUGAUGUGCUUCCCCGUGAGUAUUCCAGGUAAUCAAUUAAAUCUUAUAGCAAUGGAUGGAACCGACGAGGCUGGAGUUAUGGUGCUCCUUGGCGCACGAUCCUGCGGAGCGUGCGACUAUUUUGCUUCUGAUUGUUGCCAGACAAUGCCGAGCCACCCGUGCCAUCAUCGCUCGUCUCAAUUUUGCGAGAUCAACAACCGCUGCUCAGCCUGCCGCCACAUACAGCAAGCAGCUCAUGAAGAAACACUACCACUGCGAGUCACCAAGUAUCAGGUCAGAAAAUGCAGGCCCGAGCUACUCUGAUUUCCAUAUGUGGCUAUCUCUGUCAUUCACCGUGGCAAAGCGAAACUGUGAUGUCAAUCCUAUGAAUACGUUGAACCAAGGUGAGCCAUUAUCGAUUCGCUGCUGAAGGUGUUUUCCUUUAUUUUGUUUCAUGUGGUUUAUCUUUUAUACUCUGAAAUUAUUUAGUUCUUGCAUUGAAUCGUAGUUUGUUUAUUGGCCUAUUAUAUCGAGUUGUAUGCAUAGAGAUGGAAGGGGGUGCGAGAAGCUAUGCUAAUUUUGCAGUGGUAGGCUGUGUCUUUCGAUUGUCUUUUAACAGUAAGUAUCAUUCUUUUAUUCCUGUGGCCUAAUCAGUGAGCUGUGAUGAACAUUUUUUCUUUGUAUUCAAACUAGCUUGAACGAUCAAAAAGGAUAUUGGUCCAUGUUAGCCUUUUAGCAUUGUGUAUUAACAUUGGCUGGGCCAUCUUUCCAAGUUGUAAAACUACACUUAGAUGCUUAACCUUCGCCAUGUGCCUCUAUAGCUGCUUCCGGUGGUAUUAUCUGAGAUGGCCGUGGAGAUCAAAGGAUCUAUGUACAACCUUGGUUCAAGGUCUGCCUUAUGUGCUGAAUUAUGGCAAGGACUAAAACAGGUUUGGGAGCUAGCCUACCAAGAAAAGAGGUGUUUCAACAGCCUUUAAUACUUGAUUUUGGUUCGAUUGCAGCAAUGCAAGGAACAAAUUGCUUUGCACCUUUCUUCCAUUCUUUGUAUUUCUUACAUAGAGAAGGAAAGGGCAGCUAUUAUCAACUUCUUUCUCUGUGGGUUAACUUCCGUGCUAGCCUUAUGCAUUUUCCCAUGCCGCAUAAAUAUUUUGAGGUAGUACUAAUUUUAAAUCUUGCAUCUUCCAGGGAUAGUUCAUGUCAAAUAUUAAUUCGAAUUUACAUUUUCAUUUACAGCUUCACUGUACUAUUGUUUCUGGAGCAUGUAACUUUCCAUGUAUUAAGGUAAUGGUGUUUUACAUCUUCCUGAAGGUUGUAGCUACUACUAUUUGUAUUUGGUUCUUCGUUAAUUUUACUUUAGAAUUGAAUCAUACGCAGGAGCCCUUUAUUUAUUUUUCUUUGCUGCAACAUGUAGCCUGGUUUAGGCAUGUAGUCGGGCUCAGAUAUCAAAACUUAGUUAGGUACUUAGGUUGCUACUAAAUAUUUUUUUAGAGUUGCUGCUUUUAUUAAUAUUUCAGGAACUGAUCAUAUGUAGUUAGCAUAUAUUAUGGUACACAUCUUUUGCAUUAUUAAACGAGGAGUGCAUACAAUUCUCUGUGUGGCAUUAGCUACCAACUGGUAUAUCUUGCAUUACUCAAAUCCGCAAUCAACGAGACAUGCAUGGUUUGUUUUGGGCUUACCCUUUUUCUCCUGCCUCUUGGUCAUGCGGGCCUAGGUGAACUGUUGCAAGUUUUGAUUUCUUAAUCCAGCCCAAGAAUCAUUUUGCUUUUAACCAAGGUUUGGAACUACUAGCAAUUUGUGAAGUUGUAUUUAUCCUGAUACUAAAAUGGUACUUCUGUUAAAGUGCUGAACUGCCAGGUCCUGUUCUUUAAGUUAUAACACACUGGGGGAGCAACAGUUUCUAUGUCCAGAUGAACAUUCAUCACUAAAUGUUUCGAAUGAGAUAGACCCUGGCUUUUGAUAUUGUUGUGAAAGGAGACAUGGGAGAUUUGGCUGCACAACUUCAUGCCUUGUAGUUGUGGUUUCAUGUGAUAAGUUGUUCUCCCUUUAGAUUUAUAGAAUUUUUGCUUUAUAGAUUUAAAAGUAUUGUGUCAUGACCUCAUCCAUCUAUUUAGCUUUAUAGAAUUUUUGCUGUCAGGUCCUACAACCCCUUUUGCCCAUAUCCCUCGACAGUCACAUUAGCACGCAAGUUGGAGCAACGGUCAGCGGCAUUUUUUUACAUGAUUUCAGGGUGAAAAAUAUAUUUACAUUUACAUGGGGCAUGCACCAAUAGGAUAGUUUAACUUGUGUGAUAUUUAUUCCUGCUGUAGAAUGUGCCGAGGGUGGUUAGAGCUUUUCCUCCCUAAGGCUCAGUAUUUAUAAUUAAAUGGCUAUCUGCGUUUCUCCCUGGCAUUUAUUUUAUUGUGUGAAAUAGCCUAUGCCUCCUUAAGUGAUGGUUGUUUAUGUGAUGGUGCUCUAGCCAUCGACUAUGCUAUUAUGGUAGUAAGACUCUCAUGUGUUGGCAGAAUAUACAUGCCACUUAAAAUUAGGAUCAGUUUACCAUCUAAGUGAAUACUAAUGUGUUAGUUCUUAACCUGCAUAAGGUUAGUGCCCCUCAUAAUUUUCUCUACAUUUAGUUAGCAAAUGAUUAUUACAGAGCUUUCAGCUUUUAUCUACUGACCUUACGUUUUCAUCUUGAUACUAUACUUAUCUCAAAAUUUCAUCUACCCAACAAUUGAUCAUGUGAAAUACGGAUGGUGUAAAGACGCACUCCGAUGUGGACAAUGUUUAAUUUUGUGCAAAGUAAUAAUGGUGUAUGGAAGAUGUAUUCUAUCUGCAGACCCCAUUGAUAUUUUCUUACACUGUAUGCGAUCAAUCUUGAAAAAAUAUAAAUUGAUCUUAUCUUUCACGAGCUCAUUAAAUACCAUUUUUGGCCUGAAGUGAAAAAUAUCAGAAAUAACUAGGCGAUUUAUGCUUGACAUUUUUUUGUACUUCAAGGCCAACCAUUGUUUUUCCUGAUGAGUGGUCGUCAAUGCAGUGGGAUUGCUCGAUGUUGAGUCCACCUGCUGAGCGGCGAGACAAAAGACGGGGGGUCGUGCGCCAACAAAAAUCCAUAUUGCAACUUUACAUAUUCCUAUGGACUUUCUGGUGCAAAUAAGGAUAGAGCUCUACUAUAUAUAUCCUGAACAAGAUCCAUAUUACAAUUGUACAAUCAUUCAUAGAAAAUUGAUUACUUAGUCUCAACUAAAAUUAUUUGUUGAAGUUGAUUUUCUAUCCUUGGAUAAUGGAUUCAUAUUGUGUGAGAUGUACUUUUUAAUGUCUAUGGAAACUGCUUACUAUUCACCUUUAA